CGAAACCGCGAGGUCAAGCAAAUCCCAUAAAGUUGUUCUCAGUUCGGAUUGUAGUCUGCAACUCGACUAUAUGAAGCUGGAAUCGCUAGUAAUCGUAGAUCAGCAUGCUACGGUGAAUACGUUCCCGGGUCUUGUACACACCGCCCGUCACACCACGAGAGUUUGUAACACCCGAAGCCGGUGGAGUAACCAUUUGGAGCUAGCCGUCGAAGGUGGGACAAAUGAUUGGGGUGAAGUCGUAACAAGGUAGCCGUAUCGGAAGGUGCGGCUGGAUCACCUCCUUU
rnacentral:rRNA from 1 species